UACAGAGGUCUCAACCGUUGUUCGGAUUUACUGGGCGUAAAGGGCGCGUAGGCGGCCAGCGCAAGUCAGUUGUGAAAUCUCCGGGCUUAACUCGGAACGGUCAACUGAUACUGCGCGGCUAGAGUGCAGAAGGGGCAACUGGAAUUCUCGGUGUAGCGGUGAAAUGCGUAGAUAUCGAGAGGAACACCUGCGGCGAAGGCGGGUUGCUGGGCUGACACUGACGCUGAUGCGCGAAAGCCAGGGGAGCGAACGGG
rnacentral:rRNA from 1 species